GCGGAAGUGGCUCAGUGGUAGAGCAUCGCCUUGCCAAGGCGAGGGUCGCGAGUUCGAAUCUCGUUUUCCGCUCCA
rnacentral:tRNA from 1 species